AACGCGAAGAACCUUACCUGGGCUCGAAGCGCAGUGGAUAUGGGUGGAAACAUCCCUUUCUCGCAAGAGACUGCUGCGGAGGUGCUGCAUGGCUGUCGUCAGCUCGUGUCGUGAGAUGUUGGGUUAAGUCCCGCAACGAGCGCAACCCUUAUCGUUAGUUGCCAGCGAGUCAAGUCGGGCACUCUAGCGAAACCGCCUCGGAUAACGGGGAGGAAGGUGGGGAUGACGUCAAGUCCUCAUGGCCUUUAUGUCCAGGGCUACACACGUGCUACAAUGGCCGGUACAAACCGUCGCAAACUCGCGAGAGGGAGCUAAUCGGAAAAAGCCGGCCUCAGUUCGGAUUGGAGUCUGCAACUCGACUCCAUGAAGCUGGAAUCGCUAGUAAUCGCGGAUCAGCACGCCGCGGUGAAUACGUUCCCGGGCCUUGUA
rnacentral:rRNA from 1 species